AGGCCGCCGGUGGCCGCGCGCGAUCCCCCGGUGCGGCGGCGCCCGCAUCCCUUGCCUCUCCAGCUGCACCGGUCUUCUCCCAGAGCACGAAGUGGGCGCGCGCGGGGUGGCCGCCGGCAAACGGGGCCGCGUGCGACCCCCCGGUGCGGCGGUACCAGCUCCCCUCGCCUCUCCGGUCGCACCUGCUCCUUCCUAAGCACGACGUGAGUGCACGCAUGGCGGCCUCCGGCGAACGAGGUCGCGCGCGAGCCCGCGUCGCGGCGGCGCGGAGCCCACUGCUCCCUGCCGGUUUGAGAUCCGCACGUGCUGGCGGUGCUCGCCUAUCCGCGCGCCAGGGCGCCCACGCAGUCCCUCCUCUUCGCCGGCGUCGAGCGCUACCGCAUCCUAGAGUGUCUUCUUUCGAGACUGCUGGGCAACAGAUCGCGUUCACGCAAAGACUGGCAGGGGGACAGCCUCGACCGCGACGAGGAUAACAUUAGGAUCCAACAUAAGGUUCCUGGUCCACCCUUUUCGCCGCACUGAAAUAGGAACGCUUGCUUUUACCUGGUGCCGAUGGUUGGGGUUCUGCAGAGUGCAGACUUGGCGGAGAUCGCAUUUUUCCUCGGUAUCACGCAUCACGAUUCAGAGGUAGGCGGGUGGACCUUCUUCGUCUAAUUAUUAACUUGGUGGGAGCUAGCUGCUAUGUCGACCACCCAGAGUGAAGGUUGGUAUAACACUGAUAAUCGGUAGCUAUUUUCACUUGAACAGUUUCCAGCACUGUAAGCAGAAAGGAUUAUUUGAUGCAGAAUGUACUUUAUUGUACAGAAAGUAUUAGAUGAUGUUUUAACCUCAGUAUAUUGGGGCAUUCGAAACAUAGAUUACCUGACAAAUUGCUCCCUGGUAGUGUUGAUGAGCAGUUUGAAAAGGGUGUACAACUUGUAGAUUCCAUUGCAGAGAAACAGGCAUAAAAAAUUUCAGAAGAGUGCAAGCUUUUUCCUGCUGCUGUCCAAAUACAAUCAAUUAACCAACUGUAAGUGCACCCAAUUCGAUGUUCUUGUCAAUUGUAUUAUUUAGAAGCGCAGCUUCUAAGCACACAUAUAAUUCUGAAAUGGUAUGAAUCUAUGUUGCUGUCUUCAACCCCCAGAUUACAAGCAAUUUCAAGAACCACCACCAUUUCAGUGUGAGCUUAGAAUAAAUAUAGUAUGUGUGUUUAAAAAUCUUCCCUUUAUGAUUGUUUAGAAAUCUAGAGUAUCAAGACUGUUCUAUUUCUACAGGCUUUUUUAGUAUCAUGUAUAAAGAAUGGCAUGCAUAUUUUGGAGUAAUUACAGUGCAUAGCUGGUUAGUUUAGUUCAGAAAGGGGAGAACCAUAAGGAGUUGUUACAAUUUAAAUCUUUGCUCAGUUUCUUCUUUAGCUCAUUUCAUUUGACUUUUGUACAACCAAAUCAGAAGCUUGGAUGAUGUCAGGUUGAAUCUCGAGGUUCUCAAGCAUUUUUUAUGGUAGUCCCUGUAAUCUAAGUAAAAAGUUUUAGAUGUUUGUGAUGGUCUUGAGCAUAGGUCUUUACAAGGGUCUGGUAGCAGUUCUUCUGAUUGGAGGCCCUUCAUAAAGAACUAGCAGCAUGGUUCUUUAAAAUUACCGGGAUAAGAUAGUUAUAAUAAUCUUUGGCAGUAUCAAAACUAUAAUUAAAACCACACUACAUUUAUUUGUUUCCGCUAUAUUUAAAUUCUUUUCUGAUUCCAGCUUGUUAGUGUUGUUGCAGACUAUUGGUUGUUACAUAUUUCAAAUCACUUCGGCUAAUCAUGUACAUAUAUUUCCAGCUUAUGUACUUUACUAUUCAAUAUAUUUUUGUUUUAAAUCACAUCUAAUAUCCUUAUAUAAUUGUAACCCACAGGUGCCUGUUGAUAGCGUCUCCCAUAUCAAGAGGCUUGAAACCAAUUAUUCAGUUAUCAUACAUAUAUUCAGUGUCAGAACGCUUUCUGAGUGAAUCAUUGCUAUUGACUGCUCCUUAUUACCAUGUAUAAGUAAUGAAAGGUUGUACUUAUACUCUGUCUUCAUCGCACAGGUCCAUGAGCCCAGCAUAAGGAGACAACUGAUACAACAAAACAAAGUGAACAACUUAAUCUCUUAUAUGUCUAACUAAGCAUAUAUAGAUAAUACAACAUUUAUUUGUUUUCUAUAAUUUUACUGAGCAUAUGUGUAUGAGUUUAUAGUCAGUGUGUUCCACACCCACUUUGUUUUCCUAGAAUCCCAUGCCAUUUUAUAUUUCUACAACUUGCAUGGAAGGAGUGCAGCAAAUCUAAGACCAUAACGACAUGCAUUCUAAGGAAAACAUAAUCAAACUCCUAUCACUUAAGAUACCAUUACUACUAGCGGAACAAUGGAACUGAGUGUACAUUAUCUUUCUUUCAUAGCAAUUAUCCAUGCUGAUGAAAUAUACGGCCUUCAUGUUUUGCAGAACAAUUCAGUCGAAUGUACAAAGUCGGUAACCUCAUUAUGAAAAUGGAUAACCUUGGAUGGUAAAGAAGACUUGCUUAGUCUAUUCCUUUUGCUCUGCUUACUAAUGAUGCCGGAAGAUGCAACAUACUAAUUGUUUUGUUGUAUGUGUGUGCAGCACUUUAGCUGCAGAUGCAGACCAACAUCUUUUGUUUCACUGUUAUUGCUGAAAACUGGACGUGGUGAAUGUUUUACAUGUUGACGAGCUGCCUUGCAUAUCAGUGAAGUUAUUGAGCCAGUGCUUGCAUACAUAUAUAUGGUUUAAUCGUAAGAACACUCUUCAUAGUUGUUUUUCAAGGCUGAGAAGGUGUUGCUGUUGGUGACAUGUGCGGAGCUUCUGUUGGUGUUUAUCUUGUAAUAACUCAAUUUGAUAGCGGAAACUGAUUGAAUUAUCAAUGUACAUUUAGGCAUAGAGCAUGAGGAUGUAUGGAACUUCUGAACACUUUCAGAUUGUCUAUAAAUUAGCAGUCUUGGCCCCUUUAGAAAAGAGAGUACAACUAAAUUAUUGAAAGUGCAGUUCUAGGACAAGUACUUGCUGAAAUUUUCAGGUCUUGGGACAAAGUACAUCUAUGAACAGUAUGCCUCAUUUGGCUCUUGUGGGGGCAGGGAUAAAAUAAACCUGCCAUCAGUAGGCGAGUUCAAACACUGGAUGGCAACGUGUGCUAGACAGAUUUUUUGAAUAUUUGUGCUACCCAUUUGGGUACGAGUGAUGCUCACGGAGGCCAUUCUAUGUUGCUGACUAACUGUCCUGUCUAUAUACUCCCUCCUUCCUGUCUAUAUACCCAUUUUGCGUACGAGUGAUGCUCACGGAGGGAGUAAUUCUUUAUGUAGGCGACAAUUCAAUCCUGAAAUCCUAGAGUUCCAUGGAAGAAAAAUGCGUGUGCAAGAACAGUAGAUUUGAUCUUCUUUUAAAACUUGUAAGAACACUAAAUGGUGAAACAACUUACGUUAUUAUCCGGCAACGCGACCACAAAUC